rnacentral:lncRNA from 1 species
CUACUUAUAAUCAAUAGUAUUGAAUGAGUUUUGUAACAUAGUAAUGCAUAUUGUAUUAUAUUUUUGCAAUUUAAAGCUAUAUUACAAAAUAUUCUCUUUUAGCGACGGCAGAUGGCAGCAUAUUAACAACAAAGCCGCCAUCUUAAGGAAUCCAACGGGUUUGAAUGAUACAAUUGGGUGGAAGCCAAAGAGAGAAUUACUUGAUAAAAGUUGCAUUAUAAUUUAACUUUUAGCGUAUUUUGAGAUAAAGAUGGAUAAUUGCAGACGAUCGGGACGAAGCAGAAAAACAAUUAAUUAUGCAAAAUUUGCAGAAGACAGUGAUGAUGAUGACUUUAAGGAAUCAAAUAUGCCUGCAACCAAGAAACAGAAAGCAGAUAAAGGAUAUAGUCCUGAAGACAAUAGUCGUACUUCUCGUAAAUCAAGUGAGAAAAAAGAAAAAUCCAAAAUUAAAGAUGAAACAAAGAAAUCAGAUGGCAAGAAAGAUUCGUCGUCUCCAAGGUUACCAGUAACGGAAAAAGUUUUUCAAAGAGAUUUACAAACUGCUUUAGAACGUUCAAAGCAAGAUGGGGAAGGAAAAGAUGAAUCUAGUGAAGAAAGCAAUGAAGAAGAAGAAGAAGAAAAAAUUACAUCAGGUUCUAAAGAUGAUGCCAAAAGAGGA